GCAGCCUUGGUGAGGAAGAGCCGGGAGAGCGCGGGAGAGGAGCUUAAAGGAGCCAGGGAAAGUGGUAGAAACGGGAAAGGGAAGGCGAUACGACCGUCGGAGCUGAGAAAAGGAAGCCGUGGGGAAGAAAGACCACAAGAUGAUGUCUGCCUCCUGACUGGUGUAGGAGAAGGUCUUACCUUCUGAAUCACCCACUGCACGAGGCCCAGAUAGUAGAGAAUGGACAUGACACAGCCAAAGAAAAGGAUGAUUGUUCUAUAAACUCUCUGAAGUCAGGAAGAAUGAAGUGAUUUACCCAGAGUCAACAGCAAGUUAAUGGACUAUUUUGCUCACCUCUUAUACUUCAGCACUACUCCAUGACUGAAAUGCAUUUCAUGCAUUUUCUCCUUUAAUCCUGACCAGGCACCUUGGAGGAAGGAUAUCGAAAGCGGAUUGUGACUGAAGAAAGAGAAAGAAUGACCGUCGUAAAGUCAAGAGAAAUGACUGAUAAGACUUCGGGAAAAGUAAGACUGAUAGGAUGGUAAGGAUCUUCGUUUGUACAAGAGGAAGUCACAGAGCAUUAGGUGAAAGCAUUAUGCUGUUGCUAUGGUUUUUUGGAAAUUAACUGUGGGUAAAAUGGAUGCUGAGUACCUGAAACAAUGAGCUGCACCAGACUCUCUAUUGGCAGCUCAGCAUCAUUCCGUGUUCCCCCAAAAAGGUUAGGAAGUCUAUAAAACAUUUAGAAUCCUUUGACAACCAUUUUCCAUAUUAGAUUCCACAGAUGAGCAGUACUUGUGUGAAAUUUGGAGAACAAGAGACAGGCACUAACCCGCUCAAAAUUUAUUCCAGUGUCUGCUGAGUUCCAAAGCCACUUUCACAUUUUGUUUUUGUAAUAGCAGCGUCAUACUUCUGAUAACAAAAUCUGUAUCAUUUAUCACAGUGUAAAAAAUUACCUGAAAACUUAGUAGCUUAAGACAACAAUUAUUAUCUCACAAUUUCUUAACUCAAUAAUUUGGAAGUGACUUAACUGAGGGUCUUUGGUUCAGAGUUUCUCAUGGAAUUUCAGUCAAGAUGUCAGCUGGGGCUGUAGUCAUCUGAAGGAGGCUACAGGAUCCGCUUCCAAGAAGGCUCCCUUACAUAGCUAUUGGCUCAUCACCCUGACGAUGACUGACAGGAGGCUUCAAUUCCCCACAUCAUGGGUCACUCCGUGCGCUUCUUUGACUGUCCUCAUGACAUGGCAGCUGGCUUUCUCUGGAUCUAGUGAUCCAAGAAAGAGAACAGAGGAAGUCGCAAUGCACUUUAUGACCUCCUAUCAGAAGUAACCCACCAUCACUUCUACUAUAUCCUUUUCAUUUGAAGAAGUCAGGAAGUCUGCCCUCACUCCAGGAAGGGGUACCAAAGAAUUUGGGAAUGUGUUUUAAAACCACCGCAAGUUCUUAUAGGGUAUUUGAUCUAAAGAAAAUUAAGGGGAAAAGUUUUUAGCCUCUAAUGAUAUGGUAACAAAGGAAGUCAUCUAGAUUCAAGAUGAGGCCAGGAAACCAAAGAGGAGUCAUGACAGAAAUAUUUUGACUCAAAAAUUUAAGAGAAAGUUGAAAAUAAUAAAAAAGUGAAGUCAAUUUGUUGCAAUUUUUACAUGAGUCUCUCGCCUUUUAACUUAAAAUUACAUUUGAAAUUUGCGUACUAUGUUAUCAUGUCAGAUUCUCAAUGCUAACCAUGACAUUAGGGCAACAUGGAUAAAUUUCUUUUCAUACUUUUUUGACUACCACGACUCUAGAAAAUACCAUUAAUAUUAGAGCUUCCUCUCAAGCCCCACAUACAUUUCCUUCAUCCAACCUGUCCAUCCACUCUACCUCUGAGGUAAAGAGGAAACAACUAUGGGUGUGAUAUGAGGGAAGAGUCCACUUCCAACAUCAGGUUAGUCCCCACACCUUAACCUCACCAACCAGACCAGGGGGCUAAAUUUUCCUACAAACCCAGGGGCAUUUCUUCUCAGACUGAUGCUUUGUUCUCUGGGCUCUGUAGUAAGCAUUGUAACUUUAGAUUUUAAAUUCCAAAAAUAAUUUUGGAGAUCAACAUAGGAUUGCCAGUUUGUAAUUUUUCCAAAUAAAGAUGUUUUUAAAAAUGA